rnacentral:rRNA from 1 species
UACGGAGGGUGCAAGCGUUAACCGGAAUUACUGGGCGUAAAGCGUGCGUAGGCGGUUUGUUAAGUCUGUUGUGAAAUCCCCGAGCUCAACUUGGGAAUUGCAAUGGAUACUGGCAGGCUGGAGUAUGGUAGAGGAAGGUGGAAUUCCCGGUGUAGCAGUGAAAUGCGUAGAGAUCGGGAGGAACACCAGUGGCGAAGGCGGCCUUCUGGACCAAUACUGACGCUCAUGCACGAAAGCGUGGGGAGCAAACAGG